AGAUAGAUAGAUAGAUAGAUAGAUAGAAUAUAAUUAAAAUGUAAAUAGAUUGUAUAUAAUAUAAAUGUAAAAUGCUUAAAAUUACUGUUUUUAUAUAAUAAAUUACAGGUAUUUAUGCUGCAACCAAGAAAGCCUUUGCUAGUCUUGAAUUAGUGUUGAUUGGCCAGAGCUGAUGGAUUAUGAUGCCAGUCAGGAUGUUAGGCUGUGGUUCUCCCAAGGAAAGAGGACCAGGAGGCCCAACUAUAAGAGCUGGCCCCUCUGAAUUCAAUUGCAAUGUGUUACUAAGGUUGACAUUUAUUCACAACCAAGGCGACAAAGGGUUGAACAGCUGUGAAGACAGUAAAAUUAUAUAUCAAACGUUAAAAAACAUAAAUGUUUUUAUAAUAGUUUUUUUUGAUUUGAUAGUUAGAAGAUUAAAACAUUUUGCUAACAUGAGGUCUUGUGUCACUGUCAGUCUUUUUACAUCAGUGCAAAACUAGGGUAUGCAGAUUAAGACCACUAUUCAUUAGCAUGCAUUGAUUAAUCCCAUGGCAUGUAGCAGAAAAAAAAAAAGGUGCGACCAAAUCAUAUGCUGUUGGUAGCACCAGUGCAACCAGUGGAAAAGUUAGUCUGGAGCCCUGCACAGUUAUGGAUUGGUCUUAAUGCCAUACCUGUACAGAUCCGGUGCUGCAGACACAUCUGCGUCAUGACACUUCAAGGAGUGCCAACACAAAUAUCUUGUAUCAUUCACCUGUCGUCAACAAGUGCACAGAGAUCAAAUGAAUGGCCACAGUGUGUGAUUACGGUAGUCAUCCGAUUAUUUAUUAAAGUUGCUUUUCAGCACCAUUCAAUAUAAUACACAAAACAUAAAACAUAAAAUAUAUCAUUUCUGUGCACAAAGAUGUUUUAAAUGAAAAAUAAAUACACAAUACUAGGAGAAACGCAUCAGUGUGCUUUUUUGGAACACUAACAUAUCUAUAAAUUCUAUAAAAAUAUUGUUUAGCUUACUUUUUUUAAAAAGCUGGCAAAUUCCCUGUAUUAAAUUAAAUAAAUUACCAAAUGAAUAAAGCAUUAUAUAACAUAACAAAAUAUAUAUUUUUCUUUACACAAACUUAAAUUGGCCUGACCCUGUUCUGGAGAUGAACAGUCGGCUGAAUGACUCUCAGAAUGUUCUGAAAAAAUAAUCAAGACUAUAAACUAUCAGAACUAUUUCUCCAGUGAGUUCACUUUAGCAAAACUAGCUUUUUAACAUUUUAAAACAUUUAAAUAUUUGACAUCUAACCCUCUUUACCUCGGAUCUCAUUCGCUGAGCUUCUUCACAAAAUAUAAAUUGCUUUAUGAAGCUAAAAUUAAUUUUAGACGAUAAUCAAGUUCAGUUGGUGGUUAAAAGUUCCCAGAUAGGAAAAAAUAUCCGUACGGCUUCUUUUUGCCGCCGUCCCUAAGCUGUCGGCUAUAGGUGCGUCCCACUGGCGGGGAUGAAACGUUUGCCGCCUUCCCAUUUCUUGCGGGAUGCCGCCCGCGAAAAGCUGGCGGGCCGCCCGCUUCAUUUUCUCUGGCGGCAAGCCUCUUUGAAAUACAAGGACAGCUUAGACUCUCAAAAUCGACCAGCCAUGUUGGCUAUUAUUAUUUUUUGCUCCAAAGCCAUUAGGGUUUAUAACAGAGUCUUGACUCUUGAUUCCAUGAUAAGGUAAGGUUUAGAAAAUGACAUUUAAAUUACUUUGAAACUCUGAAGCGAUUAUACAGUAAUAUAUGUAAAAUAUAUUGAAUUAUUUUAUGCUCUUUUGUUUACAUUUCUUUGAUUGAUGCACAUUUGAGACAUGCACCAAUAAACCAAAAAGAAUUCCUUUUGUAAAACUUAGUUGGCAAUAAAUAUCUUUCUGAUUCUGAUUAGGUUUUAAAAUAGAUAUUUAAUUCAUGGUAUGAACAAUUUAGCAGAAUAAACUGAUGAAGUUAGACUUUUCACCAAUGCCUAUCAGUGAACAGUGAAAGACAUCUGCAACAUGGCCAAAAUCUCGGGUAUACUUAAAUUUUUUUUAUUAAUUUGCAACCAUGGUGAUAUCUGUCAUAAACAUAAAAAUCCCUGUUUUGACGUGAAGGAUAAACUCAAUGAAAAAGCGAAAUUAUCCUCUGGUUUCACAGUUGCGCAGAAAUUUUGUUUAUGUCUACAUUUUUUCCAACCUCGAUUUUUUUUUGUUAUUUUACCUUUUACAGGUUUUGCAAUUAUGACCUGUACAAAUGUUUAAGAAAGUGUUAAAGUCCCUGUAAAGGCAAUAAAAGAAAUCUAAACGCAUUAUAAAUGUUAAAAAUUUAUUGCUAAAACACAUUACAAAGACUGAACUGUGAAGUUCCGCUGUCGCCAUAUCUGUUUCCGGUUUACUUGCGCGUUGCCCAAAAUGUCUGUUUUUACUCGAUGUCUCCAGAAUCUUCCGAAAAUACGCGUCAGCGAUGUUCAUCGCAUUGUUGAUGCCUGGUCCCCUGCUCCGACAAGCAAGAGGGACAAGGGCUUUAAACUCUACAUAUCGAGUUAUCUGCACAACUACAAGGGAGCAAACUCUACAAAGGCCUGACUGGAGAUUUGCCUGAUCUAUCCGUCCUUCAGGUGACAGCGGCUCACUUAUAGAGCAGGUGAAGCAAGUUGGGACAAUGUUGAAGACGUUUGCUCGCACUGGGCAAUCAGGUGCAGAUCAGACCCUAAUGCUGCGACGUCUUGGAGAGUUUGGCGAUGUUGUGCGUAGCAUGGACAACAAAAUGGACGCUAUGCUGCAACAUUUCAGUGCAAAUGUGUCUGUUGGAGAGUUAUCCCUGCCAGGGGAUCUGUUACUCCCCCUAAACACCCAGCAAGAUUUGCCGUUGCUUGACAACAGUUUGAGGCAGGAUAAAGAGCUCCAAUGAUUUCUUUGGUUUUUGGCAAUCAAAUGUGGGAGGGACCUAAAGACAACCGUGUGGCGAAUGCUUCAGAGUAUCUUCUCUAAUCACCUUUCCAUCAAUACAACCUGGACUGGUGUAGAGGAUAAAGCAUGUUUUAGAGACAUGUUCCUGAAGACCAUUGUUCAAAGAGCCAUCCGGAUGAACCCGGCAACCCAGGAUGCCACUGAUGAGGCGAUCCAGGUUAACGUUAUGCGUUACCUGAAAGGAGCAUCUGAACGUGAAGGUGGAAAAAGGCGCCGCACAGCUUAGAGUGACCCACAGCCGACCCCUUAAACCUAGGUUGACUACUGACAAUGCAGCAUCACUGACAACUGGAACCCUUUCUUUAUCCUGCAGUCAGUAACAUCAAGACCCCUAAAAAAGCCUGCUAAAAGUGUCAGACUACACUCACCCAAUCCACACUGUUCACUGUGGAAAUUGCUCUUUUUCUUUUUUUUUUUUUUUCUUUUCUCUCGUGACCCUGCUUUGAGGGCAGCUCCUUGGAUGAAUAUGGGAUGGUUUGUCCUUUUAUACAGGCGCACGAGGAAUCACUGAAGAUAUGCCAAUUUGCACUGCCUCAUUCUGGAGGUCGGGGAAAACCGGUGAUUCUUAGCCCACUACACCACGCAGUCCCCAACCACUCCAGACAUUCUGAUUGGCUGUGUUCUCUACAGCCAGAUUUUCUGAUGUUAAUUGUAUUUGUUCCCACUUGUUGUCAUGUGUAAGUUGAAUGUCAAAAUGUAUAUUAUACCUGUUAUCCUGCACAUUCUUUGAUACCAAAGAUCUCAAUUAUUUCAUAUACAAUUUGCUGCUUAUUUCAUUGUUACAGUGCUUAACUAUUCUAUUUUUAAAUAUAGCUUGUACAUCCUAGAUUAUACAUCUAAUACUUGAUUAUGUGGUAUAAAAUAUUCGACUUACCGUGACUUUAGUAUUGGCUUAUUUCAUUCCGUCAGUGCUUAACGAUUCUAUUAUAGUUUGUAAAUCCUAUUUCAUACCUCUGAUACUUGAUAUUGCACAUUAACUAGUACCAAAAAUUCUACUUUCAUUCCGUCACAGUGCUUAACUGUUAUUCUAUUGUUAAAUAUAGCUUGUAAAUCCUUGUGCCACAGGUCAGCAUUGCAGUUAUAAUGGUAUAUUCUACUCCAGAGCUUUACUCUAAAUUAUUACCACUUAUCCUAUUGUUAGAAAUGACUUGUAAAUAUGAUGUUAUACCUCAAUUUCUUUGGUAUCCUGCACUUUAUUUGGUACCAAAUAUCCUCAUUGCUUAUGUUUACUGGUAAUUCUUUUCAUCCCAGAGCUGACCUCUUUAUAUUAUUAACAAUUAUUGUAAGUGUUACAAUAGUGUUUUUAAAAAAAAAAAAAAAAAAAACUUUUUUACCAAAAUUGAAUUGGAAACCUGCAUGUUCUUUAGUGUGUGUGUGUGUAAUGUUUGUAUUUUUCUGUUAUUUAUAUUUCAGUGAUCUGACAUUUUGUUUCAAUGACAGUUACUGUACUUUGAAAUGUGGAAUUAA